rnacentral:rRNA from 1 species
AAACCAACAGGGAUUGCCUCAGUAACGGCGAGUGAAGCGGCAAAAGCUCAAAUUUGAAACCCUCGGGAUUGUAAUUUGAAGAUUUGGCAUUGGAGAAAGCUAACCCAAGUUACUUGGAAUAGUACGUCAUAGAGGGUGACAACCCCGUCUGGCUAACCGUUCUCCAUGUAUUGCCUUAUCAAAGAGUCGAGUUGUUUGGGAAUGCAGCUCAAAGUGGGUGGUAAACUCCAUCUAAAGCUAAAUACUGGUGAGAGACCGAUAGCGAACAAGUACUGUGAAGGAAAGGUGAAAAGAACUUUGAAAAGAGAGUGAAAUAGUAUGUGAAAUUGUUGAUAGGGAAGGAAAUGAGUGGAGAGUGGUUUAGGUUUCAGCCUUCUUUCGAGGGGGUGCACUACCAACGCCGAGUCAUUGAUAGCGAGACAGGGGUUAUAAACGGACGGCACUUGUGCUAUUCUCCUAACCCCUCUACUGCCACCAACGACAUAAUCCACC